rnacentral:sRNA from 1 species
AUUAACUCAAAUCAUUAAGUAAUCCACGACUAUUAUACACUCAUACUUUGAGUUUGGAUUACAAAAAAAUCAUUAACCUAUAAAUUAGAAGUUGAAGAGCUUACAUUAAUUAUUUAAUAGACACAUGGCAAAUGCUAAAGUGAUGAUGUGUCAAUCUUAUGAAAAGAGUUGGCCAACUUUCAUAUAUAUGAUUUCGUCUAAAUAAUAAGAUUUUAUAUAUACAAUUGAGAAUAAUUGAACAA